AUCAGAUUUCUCAAAAAAAGAAAACGUCAGUGAUCCUCUCCACUGCCGCCUCACAUUCUUCUCUGGAUAGUUCCCCACCACUGCCUCACAAUCUCCUCCAUUCCCCAUUCUCUCCACCACAGCCAGCGCUCCCUGGUCAGGCCGCCCCCUCCCCUUCGUCACCGCCGUCGGCGCUCCCUGGUCAGGCUGCCCUCCCCUUCGUCACCAGCGUCGUCGCUCCCUGGCAGGCCGCCCCUCCCCUUCGAAUCAGAUUGCAUAAGUAGCCGAGGAGGUCCUCGAGCUCGGCAUGCUCGCGCCAGCGCUAGGCGUCGUCAGAUGCGGACGCGGAGGCGCGGGAAUUGCACGCUCUACGCUACCCUGCUCCUUCCAAUCCGGCCCCGAAGUGCUCGAGGAGGCGCUCGAGCUCGGCAUGCUCACCGGCGAAGCCGGGUCCCUCCAUCCUCCUGAUUCCCUCGCCGUCGCCAACAUGAGCCUCUCAACUCUCUCCCGCGCGAUCGUCCAGGUCCAAGUAAUCUCUCUCUCUCUGACCCUGCAGUCUGCUCCUCCCCGUCAAUUCGGUUAGUCGCCAGGUGCAUCGCCUCACUGAGAAAUCACCAUGAAAUAUUCCUUUUCAAGACUGUGCAUAUUUUGUUCUGUUAAACGGCUUUGUUAGAAAAUCCGAUUGAUUUGAGUAUUAUUCUGCUCUAAAUUGCAGCGCCUUCUGUUUGUGAAUGGAUCCAAGAGUUGACAUGAUGCAGUAUCUUUUUUGAGAGAUGGUACAUUAUCUUCACAAAAGAAAGGAAGUUGGAGAAGUUAUUAUUGAAGAGGAAUUCAGUGGUAUGUGCUUCUCAAGAGCUAAAAUGGAACAAGAAGUGCAUGACUCUCAUGCCUACACUAACUAAUCAGACUUCCCGAAGGAGAAGGAGGUGUGGAAAGAGAAUGGGAACAACAAGUCUGAAUCGAAGAGUAUGUUUUGUUGCGGAUCUUCUAUGGAAUGUUAUUGCUAGUAACCAAGCUUGCCUUCUCUUUAGUUCCUCUAUGGAAGUAGCAUCAAAUUGGGAUUUUGUUGAUGAUCUGCGAAGCUUAAUUGAGACAUAAUUCUCUCAGUUACCACUUCUGCAAAUAGUAAUUGUUGGAUGAAGUUGAUAAAUACGAUCCAGAUACACUCAACCACUUCUCAUGAAUAUAUGUGAACUCUUUUGACA